GGUUCUGUAAUCGAGAGGUUAAGCUUUCGCGCUCGAAACCGAAGGUCAUGGUUUCGAGUCCCGUAUGUGGAAUC
rnacentral:tRNA from 1 species